UGGGGAAUAUUGGACAAUGGGCGAAAGCCUGAUCCAGCCAUGCCGCGUGUGUGAAGAAGGUCUUCGGAUUGUAAAGCACUUUAAGUUGGGAGGAAGGGCAGUAAAUUAAUACUUUGCUGUUUUGACGUUACCGACAGAAUAAGCACCGGCUAACUCUGUGCCAGCAGCCGCGGUAAUACAGAGGGUGCAAGCGUUAAUCGGAAUUACUGGGCGUAAAGCGCGCGUAGGUGGUUCGUUAAGUUGGAUGUGAAAUCCCCGGGCUCAACCUGGGAACUGCAUUCAAAACUGACGAGCUAGAGUAUGGUAGAGGGUGGUGGAAUUUCCUGUGUAGCGGUGAAAUGCGUAGAUAUAGGAAGGAACACCAGUGGCGAAGGCGACCACCUGGACUGAUACUGACACUGAGGUGCGAAAGCGUGGGGGAGCAAAACAGGAUUA
rnacentral:rRNA from 1 species